CGGUCCGCGUCGAGAGGCUUGGGCUGACCGGGCAGAAGUCACCAGAGGCCGUAGUACAGCCGGGAUGGC
rfam:Streptomyces natalensis ATCC 27448 Scaffold_35, whole genome shotgun sequence.